rnacentral:rRNA from 1 species
AGAACGAACGCUGGCGGCAGGCCUAACACAUGCAAGUCGAACGCUCCAGCAAUGGAGAGUGGCAGACGGGUGAGUAACACGUGGGAACCUUCCCUAUGGUUCGGAAUAGCUCAGGGAAACUUGGGGUAAUACCGGAUAAGCCCUUCGGGGGAAAGAUUUAUCGCCAUUGGAUGGGCCCGCGUCGGAUUAGCUAGUUGGUGAGGUAACGGCUCACCAAGGCAACGAUCCGUAGCUGGUCUGAGAGGAUGAUCAGCCACACUGGGACUGAGACACGGCCCAGACUCCUACGGGAGCAGCAGUGGGGAAUAUGGACAAUGGGCGCAAGCCUGAUCCAGCCAUGCCGCGUGAGUGACGAAGGUCUUCGGAUUGUAAAACUCUUUUGGCGGGACGAUAAUGACGGUACCCGCAGAAUAAGCCCGGACUAACUUCGUGCCAGCACGCCGC